GACGAACGCGGCGGCGUGCCUAAUACAUGCAAGUCGAACGCUUCUUUCCUCCCGAGUGCUUGCACUCAAUUGGAAAGAGGAGUGGCGGACGGGUGAGUAACACGUGGGUAACCUACCCAUCAGAGGGGGAUAACACUUGGAAACAGGUGCUAAUACCGCAUAACAGUUUAUGCCGCAUGGCAUAAGAGUGAAAAGGCGCUUUUCGGGUGUCGCUGAUGGAUGGACCCGCGGUGCAUUAGCUAGUUGGUGAGGUAAACGGCUCACCAAGGCCACGAUGCAUAGCCGACCUGAGAGGGUGAUCGGCCACACUGGGACUGAGACACGGCCCAGACUUCCUACGGGAGGCAGCCAGUAGGGAAUUCUUUCGGCAAUGGACGAAAGUUUGACCGAGCAA
rnacentral:rRNA from 1 species